GACGAACGCUGGCGGCGUGCUUAACACAUGCAAGUCGAACGGUGAAGGGAUCAGCUUGCUGGUUCUGGAUGAGUGGCGAACGGGUGAGUAACACGUGAGUAACCUGCCCCCUUCUUCUGGAUAACCGCAUGAAAGUGUGGCUAAUACGGGAUAUUCUGCGCCUGCUGCAUGGUGGGUGGGGGAAAGAUAUUGUUUCGGUGGGGGAUGGGCUCGCGGCCUAUCAGCUUGUUGGUGGGGUGAUGGCCUACCAAGGCGGUGACGGGUAGCCGACGUGGGGGGGGGGCACGUUGGACUUGGACUACGACACAGACCAGAAUCGUACGGAGCGGAGCGGUGUGGAAUAUUACACGCUGAACGCUAGCCUGAUGCAGCCGCGCCGCGUGAGAGAUGGUGGCCUUCGUGUUGUGAACCUAUUACGCCAGUGAAGCAGGCCUGUCCCUUGUGGAUGGCUUGACGGUAGCUAGACAAGAAGCGCCGGCUAACUACGUG
rnacentral:rRNA from 1 species